rnacentral:rRNA from 1 species
CCGGCGACCGGCGCACGGGUGAGUAACACGUAUGCAACCUGCCCUCCGCAGGGGGAUAACCCGGAGAAAUCCGGACUAAUACCGCGUGGUACACCAGUGGGGCAUCCCACGGGUGUUAAAAGGAAGCGAUUCCGGCGGAGGAUGGGCAUGCGGCGCAUUAGCUUGUUGGCGGGGUAACGGCCCACCAAGGCGACGAUGCGUAGGGGUUCUGAGAGGAAGGUCCCCCACACUGGUACUGAGACACGGACCAGACUCCUACGGAAGGCAGCAG